CCUAUGUUUAUCUCAUGCUUUCAUGUAAAUUCAUACACUCUAACAGCAGUGUCUAGUGAAGCAGGAAGUCUAUGGACAGGAUAAAAGGGUGGGCCACUGGCGCAAAUCACGUAACCACAACUGCCGAAAGGGGCGAACAUAUCCAAAAAGGGGGCAUGUCUAUGUCUCCCAAUGUCCCUUAGUGUCUAUGUCACUGUCACUAGGGGACACUGAGAGACAUGGGAACACUGGGUGACUUUGAGAUAGGAAGGGACACUGGGAGCCAUGGGGCACUGAGACACUAUGAUACAU